rnacentral:lncRNA from 1 species
AGAAAUCAGUGGACACAUUAAAAAAUAUCCAGUAAUACUGCAGCUGUUCUAAUCCACUCCUACCAACAGUUUUGAAGAGAUGUUGAUAGCAAAUCAAGCUUUAUAACCAUGUGAUCCCAUCUUAUGAUUUCAAUCCUGCCACAUUUUUUCCCUUUAUUUUCCUUGUUCUCCCAUUCUAUGAUUCUAGCCACCAAUAUGUGUAUGUACAUAUUUAUGCAUAUGUACAUAUAUAUGCAUAUGUGUUUAUAU